AGAUCACAACAGAGAGAGAGGGGGGAAAGCAAGCUCCCUGCUGAGCAGAGAGCCCAGAUGCAGGGCUUAAUCCCAGGACCCAGAGAUAAUGACCUGAGCCAAAGGCAGAGGCUUUAAAGCACUGAGCCCCCCAGGUGCCCUAGAAUUGUAGUUUUACAGGGAAGUUGUGAAGAUAGUACAUAGAAGAUUGUACAUUAGAGUAACUAAUGUACAUUUUCUGUCUCAGGAUCCCAUCUAGGAUACAUUGUAAUAUGAAACAUUUAAAAAUUUCUUAUCACUUAAGUUACAGUAGUGUUACACUGUUGUAGUCUGAAUGCUGAUGAUUGUAAAAUAUCUUUAAUGAGAGGUUCAGGAAAAAAUGGAGUCUUUUUUUUCUUUGAUAGUGGGUCUGUGUAAGCCAUAUGGUUGAAAAACAAAACCAAGAUAAAACUUAAUUGCCCUUUUCAGAAGUGGGCAGCAUUGUGUUAUACAGGAACGAGAACUAGAUUAGUAUUGUUUUAAUUUCCUUCCUCGCCCCUGAUAGAUUACUGAGGCAUAAUAGGCAUGCCACUGAGUCUCUUAAGCCUUGCUUUCCCCAUCCUUUCUAUGAAAAGGUUGGACAACAUGAUUUUCCCCAUCUUUAAGAUGAAGACAUAUGGGCAGAAUCUGGGGAUUGGAACAGAAGAGAUCUGCAUAUGUAAAUUACAACCUACAAUCUGGGAACUAAACAAUGGAACCGAAUUGUAGUAGUCUAAUCAGCUUGUUGGGGUUUGAGGAGAACUCAGAACUCCCACAAUGGGGCAGGACCAGAGAACUAACGGCACAGGUGGGGACUCUUCAUGAAUUCUAUCUUAACAGUGUAUCUGCUCAGGCUUGUUGCAACCCACAUGUCAGAACUCUGCAGGGGGACAGGUAAACAACCUGGUUGCUUCCCACAGCACUCAUGCCCCAGCUACUCUCUUCCUUAACCUCAUAUACUGAUACUUUAGGUAGUGUGAUAGGGGAGGGACACGCAUGCCCCAGAUACUCUCUUCCUUAACCUCUGGGUACUCUGGGUAGUGGGGUCAGGGGAGGGGACCCAUUGCCAACUUGAGUGUUCUUGAAGAUCAGCUAAAGGAUGGUUGAAAAGCACAUAACACAGAAAAGAUUUAUUCCAUUCCUACAGGUGUUCUCCUUUAAUUUUUGAGUAGGUGGUCAUUACUCUGGUCCAGUCUCCCAACCCCUGCCCCUCAAGCAAGCAUUUUAAAAUGGCAUUUGAUAAUGUCUGUCACAGAAAGAUGUUCAUAAGUAGGGGGAAAGGGAAGUUACAGAACUAUGAGUCAUGUUCUCAUUUUGGCAAAAAACAUGGAAACCAUAUUUUGUAUAUGGAGAAUAAUCUGAAGAGAAGUAUAUUAAAAUAGUAACCAUAAUUAUUCCUUGAAUUUUGGGGACUUUUGUAUAUCUUAGACUGUUUACCAUCAGCUGCUGGAACUGGAAUCCACACUGCCCUCUCUAAAACUAUAAUAUCGCUUAUCUUUUUUUUAGUGUUACUUUAGAACUUCCUUAAUUUAGAUGAUUAGUUGCAAACUGGUAUAUGUGCUUUGUUACCAUUUCUCAUAUGUUUGUGUGGACAUAUUGAUAGAUUUAUUACUAUUCAAGGUCUUACACUAUUUUUGCUGUAAUUUGAAAAAGGUAAAAAUUUGUGCUUUUAUUUUUGGUAUCAUGGGAAUUAAAGGCAAAUGAUUUGGGAUUUGAUAUCCUUCAGAUUUAAAGCUGGAAGCAUGUUUCCUAGGUUGUUUGCAUUGUCUGUGUAGUUUUUGGUGUUAUGGCUCAGAAGUGCAGGUUCAUUGUGAUGAAGGAGAGACUAGAUUGAUUAGUGGAGGAAGCCUGGAGAUGGGUUUUGGUCUUGGUUUGUCAACAAAAACAUAGUUAAGUGACUUUAGGAUAAUCACCUAACAUUUCUGGUGAUAAUUUUCUUUCCUCUAAAGUGUUUGGUUUUGGACUGGAUGAUCUCUGGUGUUCUCCUGGACCAAAUAUUGACAGCAUUUUAAAAGUUUCAGCUAGAAAAGGAUAGAUUUAUGGGUUAUUUAUUAACUGAACCCAGACUAAGGAGGUAAAAUAUUUAAAACUGUUAACAAAACAACACACACAGAUAUACAGGAAAAAGACAAGUAGAACUGUAGAAAAAGACUCCUAAAUGGCAAGAGAUCUAGAAGGUAGCUGUUUAAUAUUUCAGUUUUCAUGGAGUAAUAUGCCCAUCUUGUGGCUUUGUUUUUUCCUUCAUAGACAUUGGUGGUUUGGUGAAAUAAAGCCAUUGCUCUAGUCCUGAAUUUGAAAAUAAGGCUCAGUGUUUUUUGGUUUUUGUUUGUCUUACACUUUAAAAGUAAAAUAGUCUAAGCUGUUACAGCUUUUUAAAUGUUAGUAUUGUCAGUAAUAGAG
rnacentral:lncRNA from 1 species